rnacentral:rRNA from 1 species
AUUGAACGCUGGCGGCAGGCUUAACACAUGCAAGUCGAGCGGAGAUGAGGUGCUUGCACCUUAUCUUAGCGGCGGACGGGUGAGUAAUGCUUAGGAAUCUGCCUAUUAGUGGGGGACAACAUUCCGAAAGGAAUGCUAAUACCGCAUACGUCCUACGGGAGAAAGCAGGGGAUCUUCGGACCUUGCGCUAAUAGAUGAGCCUAAGUCGGAUUAGCUAGUUGGUGGGGUAAAGGCCUACCAAGGCGACGAUCUGUAGCGGGUCUGAGAGGCUGAUCCGCCACCCUGGGACUGAGACACGGGCCAGACUCCUACGGGAGGCAGCAGUGGGGAAUAUUGGACAAUGGGGGGAACCCUGAUCCAGCCAUGCCGCGUGUGUGAAGAAGGCCUUAUGGUUGUAAAGCACUUUAAGCGAGGAGGAGGCUACUGAGACUAAUACUCUUGGAUAGUGGACGUUACUCGCAGAAUAAGCACCGGCUAACUCUGUGCCAGCAGCCGCAGUAA